UGGGUACAAGCUCAUCGGUACAUCUUAUUCAAUACAAGCGCGGUUCAACCAUUCAUAAACAAACAUCUUGAAGUACUUCAGCUCAAAAUGCCUCGUGUCGACGAUCAUCAGCUUCGGCGUGAACAUUUUGAAACUUUUCACAUUUGGUUCAAGGAACAUGUCCAAACUUUGCGAAGGACUACUGAUGUCAUACUUUCUGAAGAGCUUAUUCUAUUGGCAAAUGGUCCUCAUAACUUGGCAAGGAGGUUCAACGGGUAUAUACUGAAUGGGUUUCGGUAUCGAGUAAAGGCCAUGGAUGAUCGUCGAGCCACACAAAAUUGUGGUGUAGCUUUGAA